rnacentral:rRNA from 1 species
CACUCCUGCGGGAGGCAGCAGUGGGGAAUUUUGGACAAUGGGCGAAAGCCUGAUCCAGCAAUGCCGCGUGAGUGAAGAAGGCCUUCGGGUUGUAAAGCUCUUUUGUCAGGGAAGAAACGGUGAAAGCUAAUAUCUUUUGCUAAUGACGGUACCUGAAGAAUAAGCACCGGCUAACUACGUGCCAGCAGCCGCGGUAAUACGUAGGGUGCAAGCGUUAAUCGGAAUUACUGGGCGUAAAGCGUGCGCAGGCGGUUUUGUAAGUCUGAUGUGAAAUCCCCGGGCUCAACCUGGGAAUUGCAUUGGAGACUGCAAGGCUAGAAUCUGGCAGAGGGGGGUAGAAUUCCACGUGUAGCAGUGAAAUGCGUAGAUAUGUGGAGGAACACCGAUGGCGAAGGCAGCCCCCUGGGUCAAGAUUGACGCUCAUGCACGAAAGCGUGGGGAGCAAACAGGAUUAGAUACCCUAGUAGUCCC